rnacentral:tRNA from 1 species
AUUUAUAUAGUUUAAAUAAAAAACAUCUUAUUUUCAAUAAGAAAAAAGGAAAUUAAUCCUUAUAAAU